GAAGUGAUGGUGCACUAUCAUCAUCUUGGGGAGAGAGUGCGUCAUACACCAGCGCUUCUACUUCCUCCUCUCCUCUGAUAACUACUCUGAAGAUACACGACAGCGAGCUGCCUAUGCAUCAAUGGAGGUUGCUUUGUCACCUCCCUGCCCUACCUAAUUUGUACGUCAGCCAUUGCAGUGAUCUUACCAGCUCACCAGAGAUCAUCCUAGCCCUCUCCUCCCUCCAAAGUCCGUCAGUGCAUAGGGGCCAUCAGUCACAACUACCAGAGUGGUUGGGACACCUCACAGAUAUUCAGAAACUUUGUAUCGGCAAUUGCGAAGGCAUCGAGUCUUUGCCAGAGAGCAUACAACAACUAACCAAGCUUGAAAUAUUAGAAAUUUCUGAGUGCCCUGCAUUAGAGAGGUGGUGUGAAUCAGAGGAGAACAAGAUGAAGCUGUCCCACAUCAAAGAAAUGAAAAUUGCUUCUGACUGAGACAACUAUUCUGAAGAAGAAUGUGAAUCAGAAAACUACCAUGCAGGUUUCGUGGGCAUACUCACAUUGUAAAUGUAAUUUAAGCCCGGAAUGAAACACGGUACAAAGUGUUAUUUGGGGGGGGGGGGGGAAUCACAUGCUCCCUGAAUUUUACUUGUGAUUCCUUCUUGCAUCCGAAACUGUUAAGCUGCUUAUUUGGCCACCUAAAUUUUCUAUUCAGGUCCACCCUAAGAUGGUUUUGCAGAGAGGCUUUGCCAACAUGGCGCGCUUAGUGGACGUUUAUGCAUACUUUUAAUUACGGUCCGGUUUAUAAUGUACAGAGAUCCCUGUUUAAUGGUGUGGUGCAAACAAUGAAACAAAGACCCUUACUGGUAUGGAGUAGGACAGCUAGUUUCGUCUCGUCUCUUUCACACUAAGCAGCUGGUAUACGAGAAUGGUGAGUACUAUGAGUAAUUUAGAUAGUGAUGUCCUGUGGGAAUACGAGGCAUCGGGAAUUAGUGUUGAAGAGAUUGUGACCCAUUUCAUAAACAUGCUCAAGAUGAGCUGCAGCCAGCCAGCCAGUCAUCCGGCAUUACCGCUUGCUUGCAUAUAGUGAUGUAAUUUCAUAGAUGAAUCUUUUUCACUAUGCAAAUUGCUUGUCUGUAACUUGUUUUUUGGUACAAGCUCUAAUGAAGUAGCAGAGUGAACAUAACCACAGGCAA